GAGGAAGAGAACCAGAGUUCUCUCUGACCUGAAACGCGACCCGGAGACCUGCAAAGAGGAUCCGACCGGGGCUACUCCGUCCGGCCACCUCACAGCGGCGGACCACCGGCAUUAUCUUCGCAUCGACGUCGCCGUCACGUCUGUGGCCUCGGAUCGUGCAUGCACCGGCUGUAGACGGAGGACCGACGACUGGAAGCCCCGAACUCUCUCCGCCAACCUCUGCAAAUUUCGGCGUCUCCGACCACCUUCUGGGCCGUUUGUGUUCCACGACGCCAGCAGCUUUCCGGCUCUUCUUGGCUUCGUCCGGGCUUUGUUAAUCACAAAUUUUUGGGUUGAAUUGCGUCGAAGCCAUCAGCUCCUCACUAGUCGAGUUUUGGCAGUGAGUUUGGCUCGGUUGUAGUUGAUUACCGAAGGACUUCAGUUACCCGAGGAACAGAAGGUUCGCAACUCUCGGAGUACGUGAGAGAACGCAUCGGAAUCCAGUGUGGAUGCAGGUACUGUGCACUGGUGACGGGACAGUAGCGGACGGAGCUGGGUGUGCGGAACAAGUUCGGUAAAUCAUUGUUUGGAUUCUGUUUUAGAUUCUGUUUCUCGAACUUCGUGUUUCGGAACUUGUGGAUAUUUAGCAUCGUGUCAAAUUUAGUUGAAUUCUCUUUCAUUGAAAUUCAUACUUCGUGUGAUCCUUAUCCAAGUACUGGACGAGGGAAAUAGGUUUUAACAACUCAAGUUUUUCACCUCAAAAAUAUUUGUAGCUUCCGCUGUGUUUAUACGAAAAGUUUUCAAACAAAAUGCCUAGCGGUUCUCUAGAAUGUAAAUCGAGCGUUCGGUUUAUGUUUUAGAGGUUUGCGGCACUGUGACGUGCUUAAGCUGGUGAGGUGCAGCUUGGGGCGUUACAGUGGGAAAGGGCUCCAUGUUCACCACAUUGUUGCGAAUUGUUGCAAAAUUGUCAUUUAGCCCCAUUAAAAAUUUCAUUGUCUUCUGUGUAUCCAUAUAAUCCUUGAUUUCCUUGGAUGCUUCACAAGUGCACAGAGGAAUCUCGCAAAGGGCAUCUUUCUCAUCCCAUAAGCCUUUGAGUUUGGUAAAGAAGGUAGUCACAGAGCCAGCACCCUAUUCACAAUCAUGUAUAGCAUUCUCAAUAUGGAAUAAUUGUACCGUAUUAGUGUGGGAAAACCUUUCUUUCAGCUCCUCCCACAUGCCUUUUGCAGUCUUGCAGUGAAUGACACUACUAGAUAUCUCUUUGGACAUAGACCCGAGCAACUAGGUUUUAACCAAAGUAUUGCACCGGUCCCAUUGCAUCUGUUCUUCAACUCUCUAGGUUGAUCGUUGGUUUGUGCCAUCAAUAAAUCCCCUUUUGUUUUUUAUUGUGAGGGCCAUGUUCAUAAACUGAGCCCAGGUGGUAUAAUUGUCUUCCACCAAAGGCUUUGCAACAAGGACCGCUCCAGGCUGAUCAGAAUGAUGGAUGAACAAAGGAUGAUUGGGAUUUUCCCAAGGUUCUGACAUCUUCAGCGUAGUCGAAGAGUUGUCAUGUUGAACGACCUUUCUUUCUUCGUCCCCUGGCAUGAAGGCUUAUUAUAUAAUUCUAAGAAUUUGGUUGUGGUGGGAUUGUUUCACUCUUGGGUUCCAGAUCGUUGCUCUGAUACCAUGAAAGAAAUGAUAAACUGAAGAAUCCAAUUAUUAUCAUUCACAAUAGAAAGUUACAUCUUUAUACAAGUUACACCCCUGUACGAUCCACAAUCCUAGCCUAGAAGCAAGCACCAACAGAUACAAUACAGCAACACAAUUACAACAUAUGAAUAGCUAUCAAAUCCCUAACUCUACGUUAUCUUUCCUUAGCUGGUACCACAGAAUCUUGUUCCUCAAUACAGGGCAUGGUCUGGUGGUGGUGUUGUUGUAGGUGAGGUUGUUGUUUCUA